rnacentral:rRNA from 1 species
UGAACGCUGGCGGCGUGCCUAAUACAUGCAAGUCGAGCGAACAGACGAGGAGCUUGCUCCUCUGACGUUAGCGGCGGACGGGUGAGUAACACGUGGAUAACCUACCUAUAAGACUGGGAUAACUUCGGGAAACCGGAGCUAAUACCGGAUAAUAUAUUGAACCGCAUGGUUCAAUAGUGAAAGACGGUUUUGCUGUCACUUAUAGAUGGAUCCGCGCUGCAUUAGCUAGUUGGUAAGGUAACGGCUUACCAAGGCAACGAUGCGUAGCCGACCUGAGAGGGUGAUCGGCCACACUGGAACUGAGACACGGUCCAGACUCCUACGGGAGGCAGCAGUAGGGAAUCUUCCGCAAUGGGCGAAAGCCUGACGGAGCAACGCCGCGUGAGUGAUGAAGGUCUUCGGAUCGUAAAACUCUGUUAUUAGGGAAGAACAAAUGUGUAAGUAACUAUGCACGUCUUGACGGUACCUAAUCAGAAAGCCACGGCUAACUACGUG